GUGAAUCAUCGAAUUUUUGAACGCAAAUUGCACUCUCCUCGGAGAGUAUGAGUGUUUGAGGGUCAGGCUAUAAAUAAUUGAAAUCGUUGCUGUUUCCUGCUGACGUUCGUCGGAAAUUGGGUUUGCUUCAAUCCUUCUGGAUUUAAGCGACUUAAAAAUUUCUAUUUGGUUUCACGAGCGUUUGUAAGAUUUAUUUCUUUACUCGUUGAAGGUAUCGAUUUUUAUUAGACGUGAUCAUCAUAUCCGACUG
rnacentral:misc_RNA from 1 species